UGCAAGCGUAUACCAAAGUUGUUGCAGUUAAAACGCUCGUAGUCGGAAUUUGGCAGUUCCGGAUGUGUGCACGUCGUGUGCGCACUUCGCGGGGAUUGCUUUUGUGGUCUUGCGUAGGAUGAGGCACUUUUAUUAGUGAACGUCCUCACGCAACCACUUUUUACUGUGAGAAAAUCAGAGUGCUCAAGGCAGGCAUUUGCCGUGAAUGUAUUAGCAUGGAAUAAUAGAAUAGGACUUGGUUCUAUUUUGUUGGUUUGUUGGGACUGAGUAAUGAUUAAGAGGGACAGUUGGGGGCAUUUGUAUUUCGGUGCUAGAGGUGAAAUUCUUAGAUUACCGAAAGACAAACUGCUGCGAAAGCGUCUGCCAAGGAUGUUUUCAUUGA
rnacentral:rRNA from 1 species